rnacentral:ncRNA from 1 species
CAAAGGACUUAAACAUAAUUUGAGCACCUAAGGCGAAAUCUUUAGGUGAAUGGGGUCAAAUUCGGUGAAACUUUUAAAAUGGCAACGCCGAGCUAAGCUUAACUUAGUCCUCCCCUGACUGAGUUUUGAAAGUGUAGAGACCAGACGGCUCCUACCUGACUAAAUCCCCCCAAAAGGAUUUAAAGGUAAAGAAAUGGCCCAGACCACAAACACAUAUAUUA